rnacentral:misc_RNA from 1 species
UCAGCACCUGCGUCAGGAUGG